AGCUGUAUGAGUUUAUGUGAUAUCAUAAAGCUAGAGAACCGAAUGUAGAAACUAAUUCUCCAGACUUCGGGAGCCGCCGGCGCCGGAGCACCGCGGAGAUGCGGGAGGGGAGGACGGCUCGCUGGAGAGGAAGGGAGCCGUGACGGCAGCGAGGAUCCUCCCGGGGUCACGUGAUCAGAGGAGGAGGGCGAGUGGGAGUUGUUGGAGGAUGAAGUUCGGUUGGAGGAAUGAACUCGGAGCAGGUGAACACAGCUGUUCAUCGCCAUGGGCGCUCUUCUUCCUCUCCCCCCGGUGGCUUCUCCUUCCGUCUUCGGGUCUCCCGGAGAUGGCUCGGGCCAGCCAGGGAGCGACGGAGUGGGCAGGCGAGGUGGGCCGCCAUCCCCGCUGGCAACCGGCGCCUCGGCAGCAAGGAGCAGAAGAAAUCAAUACGGAGGAGAGAGGCUGCCAGGGGUCGCCCAACACAGCCCCCGGCCAGGGCGCCGAGGGAGCGGCAGCGCUCGGCUUUCUCCCAGCCCAUUCCCAGCCAGCGAACAUCAGAUGAACCAGGAUAAAAGGGACAAUUACAAUUCGGUUCCCAUUUUCAAGAUGAAUUCAACACUUCAGACUGGAUAA
rnacentral:lncRNA from 1 species